rnacentral:tRNA from 1 species
GUUUAAGUAGCUUAAUUAAAGCAUAAUAUUGAAGAUAUUUGGAAGGGUGAUUUAACCCCUUGAACA